rnacentral:lncRNA from 1 species
UGAUCUAAGAGGCACUUGCCGCUAGCCAGAACCUUCCACCAGCUUCUACUUCUACGUGGAUAGCAGCUAAAAUGUUCUUUCUUUAAAAGAAAAAAAAAAGAAACACCACACACACACACACACACACACACACCUGGUCUGAUUCCUCCUGACUCAGAUUUCUGGAGGUAAAUAUGCCUCUUGGCCUCCUCCCAAGUUACUACUAGUCCAACCCCUAGACGGUAAUUGUUUUUCUUCCCUGGUAAGUGAAAGCUUGUCAAAACCUUUCACCACAUAGACUUCUGCGUAGAUGACAGGGGCACCUAGAUGUCCGUUUAAACCCAAACAAAAUCACAAAGAGAAAGAGAGGAAGCAAAACUAUGGGUUGUUUCCUUCUUCCCCCAAAUUUCCUGAGGGAAAUCAAUGUAUGUGUUGGACCAAAAUUGAAUGCAUUUUUAAUAAUGUGGAGUUUUCCAAAAGAAGGAGUCACUAUAAUUUGAGUCAUGGAACAAUGAGCUGGUGAAGAAAUAUUUUGAAAAAUGGUGGAACACGGAGAGAUGUUUUCAUGUUUAUCUGAAUGGCUCUCUGUGUAUUAAGAGUGCAAAAAUGGCAAAUUAGAAGCUGGGAUCUUUUUCGUCAAAACUGUCCACAAACAAGAUGAUUUCUUGGGGCUAAUUUCCAUUCAGGGAUAGUGAGAGUUAUUUUAAACGACCAAAGCCAUUUCAGAAGGGUAAGAGCAUGUCAAC